GCCACGCCCAAGCCUUCCUGCCUGCCUACUCUCGGCCGCUUCUGUGUGUACAAACACAAAAGACACGCCGCGCGCGCCAGGGAGAGAGAGGGAUUCCCCCUUGCCCUCUCUCCUCCCUCCCUCCCCCCGCCGGGAAGUCCGGCACGAGGUCCGAUUCAACGGUCCGGCGGGAGCAGCCCCAACGGCCAAGCAGCGGCGCGAGGUCAGGCCAACGGCUUCUUGCGUCCCACCCCAGUUCGGAGUUCUUUCUGCGCCGUGGAGGGAGAUGGGCGCCCGCCAGCCUCGCACCUUCCUCCCAGCUGGGCCCCCCAAAUAGGGUGGCAAGCAAAGAGGGCCCUGAGCGCAAGUCCGAGAGACUUCGGGAUGGUUCACACAUGCACGUGUGUCUCUUCCUGGGUGCCUGAAAAGCAACAAGGCGUGAUGCCAGCACGAAUGGACGAGCCACCACAGAAGCAACCCCAAAGGGACUAGCCAUAAACGCUGUCCCUCGUCGAAGUGGUGCGGUGUGUGUUUGUGUAACAAAGUGUUGACCAAAGAGGAACGUGAUGUGAAUUAAGAUGAAGGUGGAAAGUAGGGAAGGGUUUUUUUAAGGCCUUUAAAAGUGUGACAUAUGAUAGUACCAAAAGACAGAAAUUUCAUAUUACAUCCUCACAUUACUUCAACCCUUUCUUAUGCUGUCUACUGAUUCAACACGUGGUGAAGCAUCGAGGGAUGUGCAUGCAUGUGUGAACUGGCCAGCAGGUCUAGAUUCAGUUUUUUUCUUCACAGAUUUUCUAUGUUGCCUUCAGUAAGAUACACUAAAGCUUAAACCAUUUGCUGAUUUCUUCUGGCACUACAACUCAAGUGAUUGUUUCUUCAAAAAUUGCCAACUUACUCUCUUUAUGUUCAAUUGCCUGUCUGUAAAAUGAUACUGAUACUUCCUGAUCUUCUGAAUAUUAUAAAGAUGGUAAGAGUGCUGAUAUUAAGGCUAAAUAUGAAAAAGUAAGAUCUACUGAAGGGAAUUAAAAUAUCAGUGCACAAAGUCUGUGCACUCUGGUACAAGAUCAGAAGACACCUUCUGCUGAGAUUUGUGAAAGCUACAAUCAAGCCAAAGCUGCCUCUAGGUUCUGGCAACCCCUGAUGGUGGACCCUCAACUUUCCUCUAAUACAUACAUUGUCAUGCAACACAUGCUUAUUCAAACUAAGACAGGUUGGGGAUUUUUGAAACUACAAUUGCUCCAGAGACUGAGUGAUGGUCAGAAGCACUUUUCAGUAGCUUCACCCAAUUCUCUGCUUUAGAGCUGACAGCAUUGCUUUCUUGACUUCAGCAUUUUGAGACUAGACUACUGUCAUGAGCUCUCCAUUUAUUUAUUUAUUUAUUGUUACAUUUUUAUACCACCUUUCAUUCUCAAGGCAGUUUACAAAACAUUUAAAACGAUUGAUUGAUUGCAUGAGUACCGUCAAGUCAGUAUCAACUCUUAGUGACCACAUAGAUUCUCUUCAGGAUGAUCUGUCUUCAACUUGGCCAUUAAGGUCUCUCAGCGGUGCAUUCAUUGCUGUCAUAAUUGUUGUAAAAGAAUAUAAGACUAUAAAACAGUUACACAAUAAUAAUAUUAAACUGGAAUAUAAAAAUACAAAUCUAAUUACAAGUUUAAAAAUGUAUACAAUAGGAGCAUAAAAAACAGAUCAGCAACAACAAUGCUCAUAUAAAAGCCUGGGUAAAAAGCCAAGAUUUGACUUGCUAUCUAAAAGCUGUGGAGAAUUUGUCAUUCCUCCAGACUUUGGCAUUCCCCCAGACUUUGGAAUGCUACCGGGAGAGCAUUCCAAAGUCUGGAGGUAAUAAUUGAGAAAGCCCUGUCCCAUGUGCAUGGCAACUGAGCCUCCCUCAUUAAGAACAUAAGAACAGCCCUGCUGGAUCAGGCCCAAGGCCCAUCUAGUCCAGCAUCCUGUUUCACAUAGUGGCCCACCAGAUGCCACUGGGAGCCUACAGGCAUGAGUUGAGGGCAUGCCCCCUCACUUGCCAUUACUCCCCUGCAACUGGUAUUCAGAGGCAUCCUGCCUCUGAGGCUGGAGGUGGACUAUAGCCCUCAGACUAGUAGCUGUUGAUAGACCCCUCCUCCAUGAAGUUAUUCAAACUCUACUUAAAGCCAUCCAGGUUGUUGGCUGUCACCACAUCUUGUACAGAAUUCCACAAAUUGAUUAUGUGUUGUGUGAAAAAGUACUUCCGUUCGUUGGUCCUAAAUUUCCUGGCAAUCAAUUUAAUGGGUUGACCAGUGGUUCUAGUGUUAUGUGAGAAGGAGAAAAAAAAUCUCACUUUCUCCUCACCAUGCAUGAUUUUAUAGACAUUGUCAGCAUGCGGAGCAGAGCUCCCUCCAAUGACUUCAUGUCAGGGGCCCGCUGAAGACCCCCUGGGCCUACUCAGUGCUGGGAGCGGAACGGCAUCUUCUGAUGCCCCUGUUGAGCCUCCCCUGGAGCCCCUCGCCAGAGCAGGCAACUCCUCCGCCAACCAAGAAGAGACCGACUGGCCUUCGUGACCUGUAUUUACUUAAGCUAUGUUUUGGUUCCACAUUGUAUUUGUAUAAUUGGGAAUUUAAAAGGGACAAAAGGUCCAUGACUUUUUUGGAAGCUUAGCAUUGCUGUUUCCUCACACACGCACAUGAAUAUAAUUGGUCAUUUAGACGAGAUUGGAUAAUGAAGCAUAUCCCUUUUGAUCAAAGGGGAGUGAAAACAUUUGGCAGACGCUGUAGGAUAUAUUAAGCGUUAUCUGUACCAUUUGAAGCCAGUACAACUUGGUACUCAGUAGGAUUUCUAAUUCAGAAACCACUGGCAAGUGCAGUGUCACUUCAGAAGAAAUAAAUCUCACUUCUCCUGAGGAAGUCCUGCUCAAGCAGGAGGAAACAGGUUAAAAUUACCUAGGAUACCUCUUGGGUAAUACUUGGACAAAGAGCAUCCAUCAGAAGGAGCAAUGGUUCUGGAAGAUAUUUGAGUAACUUGUGGAGUUACAACCAGAACAAGAACCAACCUAAGAAAAGUAAAGAUCUGGAAGAACUAUAUAUCCACAUGCAUAAGGACUAUGGACACAAUUUGACCUUCAGCUACACUUUUUGGGAUCUAGAACAUAGGCUAUUUCUUUGUAAUUGUGUGCUUCAUAACAUAUGUUUAUUUAUCCUUUGUGUGUGUGGGAAUAGACUCUCUACACGGUAUAUAUAUUUUCUAGUAUA